UACGUAGGUGACAAGCGUUAUCCGGAUUUACUGGGUGUAAAGGGCGUGUAGGCGGGUCUGCAAGUCAGAUGUGAAAUACUGGGGCUUAACCCCGGAACUGCAUCUGAAACUGCGGAUCUUGAGUACCGGAGAGGAAAGUGGAAUUCCCAGUGUAGCGGUGAAAUGCGUAGAGAUUGGGAGGAACACCAGUGGCGAAGGCGGCUUUCUGGACGGUAACUGACGCUGAGGCGCGAAAGCGUGGGGAG
rnacentral:rRNA from 1 species